AGAUAAUAAGCUUGAUUGGAUGUUUUUAUAAAUUUUUCAAUUGCAUUAUCAAUCAUGAGAGAACACGCAGUCGGCACCUCCGGCGUGUAACUCAACGUGGCUGUGGCUACUCUAUGCAUACAGAUUGCUGCUACCAAUAUCUUCGAGGAAGGGA